GAGCUUGCUUCGGCAGCACAAAUACUAAAGUUGGAAUGACACAGAGAAGAUUAGCACGGCCCCUGCUCAAGGUUGACAUCCAAAUUCAUGAAGCGUUCCAAAUUUUU
rnacentral:snRNA from 1 species